UACAGAGGGUGCGAGCGUUGUCCGGAAUCACUGGGCGUAAAGGGCGCGUAGGCGGCUUGAUAAGCGUGCGGUGAAAGCCCGGGGCUCAACCCCGGGUCGGCCGUGCGAACUGUCGAGCUGGAGCACUGUAGAGGCAGGUGGAAUUCCGGGUGUAGCGGUGGAAUGCGUAGAGAUCCGGAAGAACACCGGUGGCGAAGGCGGCCUGCUGGGCAGUAGCUGACGCUGAAGCGCGACAGCGUGGGGAGCAAACAGG
rnacentral:rRNA from 1 species